rnacentral:rRNA from 1 species
UACGGAGGGUGCGAGCGUUAAUCGGAAUUACUGGGCGUAAAGCGCAUGCAGGUGGUUCAUUAAGUCAGAUGUGAAAGCCCGGGGCUCAACCUCGGAACCGCAUUUGAAACUGGUGAACUAGAGUGCUGUAGAGGGGGGUAGAAUUUCAGGUGUAGCGGUGAAAUGCGUAGAGAUCUGAAGGAAUACCAGUGGCGAAGGCGGCCCCCUGGACAGGCACUGACACUCAGAUGCGAAAGCGUGGGGAGCAAACAGG